CCAAGAUCUAACUAUUUGAAUGUUGAGGCAACACAUUGUUCUUUUGAAUAAGAUUCCGGUAGAGUUAAAAGCUAGACAAAAGUCAUCCUAUGUUGGCAGGCUGAAGUGAAUCCAUAACAGUUUGAAUAAGAUUCUGGUAGAGUUAAAAGCUAGACAAAAGUCAUCCAAUGUUGGCAGGCUGAAGUGAAUCCAUAACAGCAACAACAGUGCUUCUAUUCGAAGCAACUUGGGGUCGGCUAUAAGAAUACAUGCUAUCUUAGAUAUAGAUUCUGCAGGCUAGUCUAUUCAUGUUACCAAAGGAAGUUCCGAGUGACUUUAAAUU
rnacentral:lncRNA from 1 species